CGAAGUUUGUGUACAACACAAAGCAAGGCCAGGGUCUUACUUGUGUUCAUCUCCCCAGGGCCAACACAUCGCCUGGUUUGUGGUGGGUGCUGAGUCGCUCCUGGUUUGGCUUCAUCUGACCAUGGGCAGUGUCAUUUGUCUGUAACGGAAGAGGUCACCUCUGUCCCGGUCUGUGCUUGUGACCAGGAGUUGGUGCAGAAACCCAAGCGAGCAGAGUCGGCGUGCUCUGAGGACAGUUGGAGAAACUCUUCCAAGGUGUCCAGUGAAGGCUGGCUUCUAAAAACACCCACUAGGACGCGGCCGAAGUGGGGAGUGUCGGCAAGGGCCUCAGAGCGACAUGCUCCGUGUCUGUGGUCGGCCGGGGGGACCUUGUGCAAGAGAGAGAGAGAGAGAGAGAGUGCGCGCACCUGCCAAGCAGCCCGUCAUCUGUCUGCCAGAGCAAAGUGGGCUCGAGGACAGGCUACCGUGAGGUCUGCCCUCUGCAGGUACACCAGGAGCCCAGGUCCCACAGAGGGGACUGGCGUGCGGAUUUCAUAUGUGACGUUUCCGGGAUGAUGGUCUGCUCUCUGCUUUUCAGGACAUGAGGCCAGGGAAGCCCUUUGUGUGUGUUUAAUUCUGCAUCUCAGGACCCAUCGAGAAGGUCAGGAAGGGCCUCAUCAUGGGCAUGACGAGGAUAGCAUUUUGCUGGGACAGAUGUCUUCUGGGGAAAUUCGCCAUGCUCUGAGGCUCAGUCCUGGGCCGCGUCGGUUCCUGAGCACCCCCCUCCCACCGUGGCACCAACAAGACAAUUCAAACAAUGGUCAGAGACCAUGGCUGGCUCCUAACAUGCGUUCAGCCACACGAGAGGAGUCACAAGCUCUUUGGUACACCGCGGGUGGUUUCAGAGUGCACAUGGCUGCAUCUGAAUUCACCAAAUAGAGAUGUGAGAUUGAUCUUUUGAAAUGUGUGGUGCCUUCAGUGAGUCAUUCUGAUAGAUGUAAACAGGCCGCCAAAUCCCUUCCCGGCUUCGAUGGCGCCUGUAGCUGGGCCAGUGUCGUCAUCAGCAUGACUUCCCUGGACAGUAGUCUCCCCUCCGAUGUCAAGGAGGAAUCAAAACGCCGGAGAUGUCUUUUGAAAAUAAAACAUGAAAAACUCAAUAUUUUGAGUUCUUC
rnacentral:lncRNA from 1 species